UUCGUUCGACUGUGGGCUCCGAUAGGACGCCGAGGAAGGAGAUGGAGCUGUCGGUCGGAUCGUGCCGGUGCCACUUCUUCGACAGGUGAGGGGACCUUCCGCUGCAGCUGGGUGGCGGUGGUGGGGAGCACUGGGCCGACGAGGUGUUGAGGAGGUUCCUCAUACUGGUACAGUGGAAGGGGAAGCCACGGAGAGUGGAUCGAUAUCUUCCGAGGAGUAGUUUGUUUGUUUGGUUUCACCUGGAAUUUACUGUAUCGAAAUUUGAUGUUGAACGAUUGGAAAUUUGAGAGCUCUGUACACAACAACCUUGUUUUGGACUGCAGUUCUUCGGCAGCCCCAUCAAAAUACAGUAGAAAACUUUGUCCUGUAAGGCUGACACUCACUUCGUUCUGUUGUGCAGAUUUCAACAGUGAGUAUGAGAUGCAACAGCUUAGCAUAUGGACUGAUUUCUUGGUGGAGCCAUGAGACAACAUUUUUGCUGAACAAGAAGCUGGCUCCUUAUUUGUUACAUUUACUCACCAAGCGGUAUACUCCGUUUGCGUAAGCUACAGUUAUGCUGUUACGCGGUUAAUGAAUCUGACCAAUAACAUAACCUAUUCGUACUGUUUUGUGCAAUCC